GACGAACGCUGGCGGCGCGCUUAACACAUGCAAGUCGAACGGAAAGGCCUGCUUUCCCUUGUGGAUUGCGGGUACUCGAGUGGCGAACGGGUGAGUAACACGUGAGUGAUCUGCCCCCAACUUGGGUAUAAGCCUGGGAAACUGGGUCUAAUUCCCGAUAGGACUGCAGGGUGGUGCCUGUGGUGGAAAACGAUUUUCUAGUGGUUGGGGAUGAGCUCGCGGCCUAUCAGCUUGUUGGUGGGGUAAUGGCCUACCAAGGCGGCGACGGGUAGCCGGCCUGAGAGGGUGGACGGCCACAUUGGGACUGAGAUACGGCCCAGACUCCUACGGGAGGCAGCAGUGGGGAAUAUUGAACAAUGGGCGGAAGCCUGAUGCAGCGACGCCGCGUGGGGGAUGACGGCCUUCGGGUUGUAAACUCCUUUCGACCGCGAGGAAGCCACCUGGUUGGAAGGGUGGUGACGGUAGUGGUAGAAGAAGCACCGGCUAACUACGUG
rnacentral:rRNA from 1 species